rnacentral:rRNA from 1 species
UGUAGGCGAAGCGAAAGCGAGUCUGAAUAGGGCGACUGAGUAUGUUGGAUUAGACCCGAAACCCGGCGAUCUAGGCAUGAGCAGAUUGAAGGUGCGGUAACACGCACUGGAGGAUCGAACCGUUGCAUGUUGAAAAAUGCUCGGAUGACUUGUGUUUAGGGGUGAAAGGCCAAUCAAGCCGGGAAAUAGCUGGUUCUCCGCGAAAUCUAUUGAGGUAGAGCGUCAGAUGUAUGCCGAUGGGGGUAGAGCACUGGAUGGGCUAGGGCUGCGCGAGCGGUACCAAACCUAACCAAACUCCGAAUACCAUCGAGUCUUGUCUGGCAGACAGACGGCGGGUGCUAAGGUCCGUCGUCAAAAGGGAAACAGCCCUAACCUACAGCUAAGGUCCCCAAGUCAUAUCUAAGUGGGAAAGCAUGUGGGAAUCCCAAAACAACCAGGAGGUUGGCUUAGAAGCAGCCAUCCUUUAAAGAAAGCGUAACAGCUCACUGGUCUAAAUAAGGGUUCCUGCGGCGAAGAUGUAACGGGGCUAAAGAUAUGCACCGAAGCUUAGGGUUGCAGUUUACUGCAGCGGUAGCGGAGCGUUCCGUAGGCGAGUGAAGGAGAAGGGUAACCGACUCUGGACGUAUCGGAAGUGCGAAUGCUGACAUGAGUAGCGACUAACAGGGUGAGAUACCCUGUCGCCGAAAGACCAAGGGUUCCUACGCAAUGCUAAUCAGCGUAGGGUGAGCCGGCCCCUAAGACGAGCCCGAAGGGGGUAGUCGAUGGGAACCACGUUAAUAUUCGUGGGCCUGGUGGUGUGUGACGGAUCUCGCGUGUUGUACGUCCUUAUCGGAUUGGACGUGCCUCGAAGAGGUCCCGGGAAAUAGCCCCACCGUAUAGACCGUACCCGAAACCGACACAGGUGGUCAGGUAGAGUAUACCAAGGCGCUUGAGAGAAGUGUCCUGAAGGAACUCGGCAAAUUGCCUCCGUACCUUCGGAAGAAGGAGGCCCCAUGUAAGCGCAAGCUCUCAUGGGGGGCACAGGCCAGGGGGUAGCGACUGUUUAGCAAAAACACAGGGCUCUGCUAAGUCGGCUUCAAGACGACGUAUAGGGCCCGACGCCUGCCCGGUGCCUGAAGGUUAAGUGGAGGAGUGCAAGCUCUGAAAUGAAGCCCAGGUAAACGGCGGCCGUAACUAUAACGGUCCUAAGGUAGCGAAAUUCCUUGUCGGGUAAGUUCCGACCUGCACGAAUGGCGUAACGACUUCCCCACUGUCUCCAGGAUAUGCUCAGCGAAAUUGAAUUCUCCGUGAAGAUGCGGAGUACCCGCGGUUAGACGGAAAGACCCCGUGCACCUUUACUGCAGCUUCAGAGUGGCAUUAGGAAAUAACUGUGUAGCAUAGGUGGGAGGCUUUGAAACGAUGACGCCAGUUGUCGUGGAGCCAUAGGUGAAAUACCACCCUGUUGUUUUCUGAUGUCUAACCUCGCACCGUUAUCCGGUGCAGGGACCCUCUGUGGCGGGUAGUUUGACUGGGGCGGUCGCCUCCUAAAGAGUAACGGAGGCGCGCGAUGGUAGGCUCAGGACGGUUGGAAACCGUCUGCAAGAGUGCAAUGGCAUAAGCCUGCCUGACUGCGAGACUGACGAGUCGAGCAGAGACGAAAGUCGGUCAUAGUGAUCCGGUGGUCCCUCGUGGAAGGGCCAUCGCUCAACGGAUAAAAGGUACGCCGGGGAUAACAGGCUGAUGAUUCCCAAGAGCUCAUAUCGACGGAAUCGUUUGGCACCUCGAUGUCGGCUCAUCACAUCCUGGGGCUGGAGCAGGUCCCAAGGGUUUGGCUGUUCGCCAAUUAAAGUGGUACGUGAGCUGGGUUCAGAACGUCGCGAGACAGUUUGGUCCCUAUCUGCCGUGGGCGUCGAUACUUGAAAGGAGUUGCCCCUAGUACGAGAGGACCGGGGUGAACGUGCCUCUGGUGUACCUGUCAUCCUGCCAAGGGUGCCGCAGGGUAGCUAUGCACGGACGGGAUAACCGCUGAAAGCAUCUAAGCGGGAAGCCUCCCUUGAGAUUAGGUAUCUUUGAACCGUGAUAGACCAUCACGUUGAUAGGCCGGGUGUGGAAGUGCAGUAAUGUAUGGAGCUAACCGGUCCUAAUAGUUCAUAUCGCGCUUGAGAGU